rnacentral:rRNA from 1 species
CAUGCCGUAAACGAUGAAUGCUAAGUUUUAGGGGGUUUCCGCCCCUUAGUGCUGCAGCUAACGCAUUAAGCACUCCGCCUGGGGAGUACGACCGCAAGGUUGAAACUCAAAGGAAUUGACGGGGGCCCGCACAAGCGGUGGAGCAUGUGGUUUAAUUCGAAGCAACGCGAAGAACCUUACCAGGUCUUGACAUCCCGAUGAUCGCUCUAGAGAUAGAGUUUUCCCUUCGGGGACAUUGGUGACAGGUGG